rnacentral:ncRNA from 1 species
UGAUCAGAAACGCAAAUAUGCGCACGCACACACCACGAUAAGACCCGAAAGAGGGUAAACUAUGCCUGCAUAGGGUGAAACCAGAGGAAACGCUGGUGGAGGACCACAGCGAUUCUGAAGUGCAAAUCGAUCUUCAAACGUGAGUAUAGGCAAAAAAACGAAUCGAACCAUCUAGUGGCUGGUUCCCUCCGAAUUUCCCCCAGGAUAGCUGGCACUCAUUCGUAUGAUCAGCUUUAUUCGGGAAAUCGAAUGAUUAGAGGUACUGGGAUUGAAACGAGCUCAGCCUAUCCUCGAAUUUUAAAUGGGUGAGAUGCCAAGCUCACUUUAUAGGAAUCGGGCGCUGAAUCUGCGAGUGCCAAGUGGGCCCUUUUGGUGAGCAGAACUGGCCCUUUGGGAUGAAUCAAACGCAACUAGGGGCUAAUAAGAGAAGUCCUAAGCAAUACAUCUAACCGAAGUUCAGA